rnacentral:rRNA from 1 species
GAUGAACGCUGGCGGCGUGCCUAAUACAUGCAAGUCGAGCGAACGGACGAGAAGCUUGCUUCUCUGAUGUUAGCGGCGGACGGGUGAGUAACACGUGGAUAACCUACCUAUAAGACUGGGAUAACUUCGGGAAACCGUAGCUAAUACCGGAUAAUAUUUUGAACCGCAUGGUUCAAAAGUGAAAGACGGUCUUGCUGUCACUUAUAGAUGGAUCCGCGCUGCAUUAGCUAGUUGGUAAGGUAACGGCUUACCAAGGCAACGAUGCAUAGCCGACCUGAGAGGGUGAUCGGCCACACUGGAACUGAGACACGGUCCAGACUCCUACGGGAGGCAGCAGUAGGGAAUCUUCCGCAAUGGGCGAAAGCCUGACAGAGCAACGCCGCGUGAGUGAUGAAGGUCUUCGGAUCGUAAAACUCUGUUAUUAGGGAAGAACAUAUGUGUAAGUAACUGUGCACAUCUUGACGGUACCUAAUCAGAAAGCCACGGCUAACUACGUG